UAUUUUCUUUUUAUUAUUAUGCUAAUCAUUGUGGUUCAUUUGGUGCAGGUGCUAAACCAUGAGAUUCCCUAUGAUUUCAUGGACAAAAUUGAAAGCUUGACGAAAGAGCAUUACAAGAAAUGCAUGGAGCAAAGGUUUAGGGAAUUGGUGGCAAGCAAGGCCCUUGAGGGUCUCUAGGCUGAGGUUACUGAUAUGGACUGGGAAAGUACCUUCUAUUUGCGCCAUCUCCCUGAAUACAGGAAGGUGAUGAAAGAAUUUGUAUUGAAAUUGGAGAACUAGCAGAGGAGCUGCUGGACUUGUUCUGUAAGAACCUUGGGCUCGAGAAAGGGUACCUCAAAAAGGCUUUCUAUGGGGAAAAAGGUCCGACUUUUGGCACCAAAGUUAGCAACUACCCACCAUGCCCCACCCCAAAUAAAAUCAAGGGACUCAGAGCCCACACGGACGCCGGUGGCAUCAUAUUGUUGUUCCAAGACCCCCAAGUGGGCGGCCUUCAGCUUCUUAAAGACGGAGAAUGGGUGAAUGUUCCUCCUUUGCACCACUCCAUUGUCAUCAACCUCGGGGACCAGCUGGAGGUCAUCACCAACGGUCAAUAUAAGAGCGUGGAGCAUAGGGUGAUUGCCCAAACCGACGGUGCUCGGAUUGUUGGUACAUAAUUAAAUUAAUCUUGUACAAAUAAAUUAUGAAAAGUUAGAAGAGUGAAGAGACUUGAAUAUGAAGAGUGAAGAGACUUGAAGAUGAAAAGUUACACACAUUAUGAAGAGUGAAAAGACUUGAAGAUGAAAAGUUACACACAUGCAUGGAUAGUCAUAACUCUUAUAGUAUUUAAGUUAUGUAAAUGGAUAGUCACAACUCCUAGCAUUUAGUGAUAUAGAUGAAUAGUUACUUACAACUCCUAUAUAAAGAGUUGUAUGUGAUGAAGAAUGUAGUAGAGUGAUUGAAAUAAAAAGUUCAUUAGAAGGAAUUUUAUUUCUUCCAUAUACAAAAAUUAUUUCUCUUUUCAUUAUAUUCUUUAUCAUUUUCUUUGUUGUAUUUCUCCAAAUAUUGUUCAAUUUUCUACAAAUUGGUAUCAGAGCCUUGUUUGAUCGAAAUGAACAAUUCUAUUCCUCUUUCUUCCGUUCCCCAAUUAACUAAAGAAAAUUAUGGCAAAUGGAGUAUCCAAAUGAAGGCUCUUCUUGGAUCUCUAGAAGUUUGGGAGAUUGUUGAAAAAUGUUAUAAUGAAGUUGAGGCUGAAGUGGAGGAAGGAUUAACACAAGUUCAAAAAGAGAGUCUAAGAAAAUCAAGGAAGAAAAAUUAGCAAGCCUUAUUUUGGAUAUAUCAAGGAGUUCAAUCAUAUGAAGCGGCUUGGGAAAAAAUAGCUUGUGCCACCACGGCAAAAUAAGCAUGGGAAUUUUUACAAAAUUCAUUCAAAGGAGAUGAAAAGGUGAAAAGAGUUCGGUUGUAAACUCUUCGAGGGGAGUUUGAAAGAUUGCAAAAAAUAGAGUCAGAAUCAGUUUCUGAUUACUGUUCACGGGUUUUGUCCAUAUUCAACCAAUUAAAAAAAUGGUGAAACUAUGAAUGAUAUUCGUGGUGUUGAAAAAUCCCCCGUUCUUUAGAUUCCAGAUUUGACUACAUUGUGGUAGCCAUUGAAGAAUCAAAGGACUUGAGUACCAUGACUAUUGAUGAACUCACAGGUUCGUUGCAAGCCCAUGAAGAAAGAUUAAACAAGAAGAAAAAGGAAGUAGAUCUAGAUCAAGCACUCCAGUCAAAGUUGUCUCUGAAUGAGAAGAAGGGAGAUUUUAAAAAUCAAAGAGGAAGGGAGCGUGGUCGUGGAAGAGGAAGAAAUUUUAGAGGAAAAGGCUCAAAUGCUCGUGAAAGAGGUGAAGAUGCAAGCACGGAGAAUGGAUGGAAAGAAGCCAACCAAAGUCAAAAUUUUAGAGGAUCACAAAGAGGACGUGAAUGUGGAAAUCAAAGAGGAAGAGGUCGUGGCUAUUUUGAAUGUUAUCAUUGUCGCAAACCUGGUCAUUUGGCAAGUGAAUGCUGGUACAAAAAAGAAGAAAAAAAUGAAGCUAAUAUAGUACAAAAUAAUCAAUAGCAAAAGCAAGAAACUUUGUUGCUCGUAUCUCAUGGUGGAGAGAUUGAUGAUGUCGGGUACAUAGACAGUGGUGCUAGCAAGCAUAUGACAGGUGACAAAAAUUUAUUUUCGAAGUUAUUUGAAUCUGAUUGUGGAGAAGUAAAAGUAGGAGAUGGCAAAGCUUACAAAGUUAGCGGUGUUGGUGAGUUGGAGUUCAAAACAAAGCAAGGAAGGGUAGAGAAAAUGUCUGAAGUUUAUUUUGUUCCUGGUCUUAAAAAUAAUCUACUUAGCGUUGGGCAUCUCUUGAAGGGGUAUGAUAUUCAUUUCCGUGACAUGGCUAGAGUUGGAGUGGCAUCAAAUAAUCUUUUCUCUCUCACCCUUCAAAAUCAGAAUAUGUCUUGCUUUAUUGGUGCUCAUAAAGGAAUUUCAAAGUUAUGGCAUGAUAGAUAUGGACAUUUGAACUAUGGAAAUUUGGAGAUGCUUUCAAGGACGAUGAUGGUCAGAGGUUUACCAAAAAUCGAUCGGCUUGAUAAUGUUUGUGAAGCAUGUCAACUUGGAAAGCAUCACAAAAUUGCUUUUCCUUCUCAAUCCUCGUGGAAAGCAAGAAGACCAUUACAACUUAUUCACUCGGAUCUUUGUGGUCCAAUGACAGUUUCAUCUUUGGGAGGUAAUCGUUACUUUAUCUCUUUCAUUGAUGAUUACUCAAGAAAGUUAUGGGUGUAUUGUGUCAAAUAAAAAUCAGAGGCUUUUCAGAGAUUCAAAGAUUUCAAGGCAAAAGUAGAGAACUUUACUGGGCUGAAAAUUAACACCUUACGGACAGAUCGUGGAGGUGAAUAUUUUUCAAAAGAAUUUGAGAAAUAUUACCGAGAUAGUGGCAUCUGGCAUGAAAUGACAGUCCGCCAUACACCUCAGCAAAAUGGUGUGUGUGAAAGAAAGAACAGAACAAUUAUGGAAAUGGCUAGAUGUCUUCUUAAGAAGAAGAGGUUAUCAAGAAGAUUUUGGGUUGAAGCUGUUUCCUGUGUAGUUUAUCUUAUAAACAGAUCACCAACAAGAAGCUUGGAGAAUUACACACCACAUGAGGCGUGGUAUGGUAUAAAGCCUAGUGUUCGUCAUUUUAGAGUAUUUGGGAGUGUUGCUUACUCUCAUAUUCCAGAUGCAAUGAGAAGCAAGUUGGAUGACAAGUCAGAGAAAUGCAUUUUCAUUGGCUAUAGUGAAAGAAGUAAGGCAUACAAGUUGUACAAUCCGGUGACAAAGAAGAUUGUGAUAAGCUGAGAUGUUUGGUUUGAUAAAAAUUCCAUGUUUGAAGAUAUGGAAGUUGAAAAGGAAAAUUUGCCAAUUUUUCCUUUUGAACUUGAAGAAGAAGAAGAGGAAGUAAUUGAGAAUGCUGAAGAUGAUGCUCAAGUAGGAAAUCCUCUUGCUUCCCCAAGUUCUUCAUCAAAUUCUUCUUCAUCUAGCCCGAUCCGAAAAAUGAGAAGCAUCCAAGAGUUAUAUGAUGUAACGGAUGAAGUUGUGCAAAAUGAUGCUGUAUUCUUUGCUUUCUUUGCAGGAGAAGAUCCUAUUUCUUUUGAUGAUGCAUAUCAAGAAGAAAUAUGGAGGAAAGCCAUGAAAGAAGAGAUUUGCUCAAUUGAAAACAAUGAUACAUGGGAACUCACAGAUUUACCGCCGUACAAGAAUUCAAUUGGAGUCAAAUGGGUGUACAAGAGAAAGAUGAAUCCGAAUGGCUCUAUCAACAAGCACAAGGCAAGACUGGUUGCAAAAGGAUACAAGCAAAAGGAAGGAGAAGAUUUUACAGAGGUAUUUGCUCCAGUUUCAAGACUUGAGACAGUUCGGUUACUUAUUUCUCUUGCUGCCUAAAACAAUUGGAAAAUGUUUCAAAUGGACGUAAAAUCUGCGUUUUUGAAUGGUGUUCUCAAAGAAGAAGUCUAUGUUGAUCAACCACCAGGGUUUGUCAAAAAAGGAGAAUAAGAAAAAGUUUACAAGUUGAAGAAAGCUUUGUACGGGUUGAAGCAAUCACCCCGAGCUUGGUACAGCCGUAUCGAUUCUUAUUUUCAGAAGUGUGGAUUCCAGAAAUCUCCAUAUGAGCAUACUCUCUACAUCAAAGGAAAUUCUCAAGGAAGAUUCAUGGUUGUAAGUCUCUAUGUUGAUGAUAUUAUUUUCACAGUAAAUGAUGUGAAGAUGUUGAAAGAAUUUCGGCACUCAAUGAUUGCAGAAUUUAAGAUGACAGAUUUGGGAGAACUUCAUCAUUUUAUAGGCAUUUAAGUUCAUCAAUCGGAGAAAGGAAUUUUUAUUUCACAAGAGAGCUACGCAAAGGAUGUUCUAAAAAAGUUCAUGAUGGAAAAUGCGAAUCCAGUCUCUACUCCAUGCAUUACAGGUCUGAAGUUAUCUAAAGAGGGUAAAGGAAAGCUUGUCAAUUCUACCAUUUUCAGAAGAUUGGUUGGGAAGUUGAUGUAUCUGACUUCGACAAGGCCUGACAUCGUGUAUGCUGUUAGCUUGGUGAGUAGAUUCAUGGAGAAACCUUACUCCAAUCACUGGGGGCUGCCAAGAGAAUAUUGAGUUAUGUGAAGGGAACCAUUGAUUAUGGAAUUUUCUAUAAAGCUAAUACAUUAGUUGAUCUCAUUGGUUAUACGGAUAGUGAUUUAGCAGGAAGCAUUGAUGAUAGCAGAAGCACUUCUGGUUAUGUUUUUCACCUUUGUAGUGGUGCAAUUUCAUGGAGUUCAAAGAAACAAUCAGUUGUGGCGCUUUCGACUACAGAAGCUGAAUAUAUCGCUGCAUCUUAUGCAGGAUGUCAAUUGAUUUGGUUACGUGGAAUUUUUGAGAGUCUUAAGCAGAAGCAGAGCAAGUUAACGAUUUUGUUUUGUGACAAUAGUUCUACUAUUUCGGUCACAAAAGAUCCAGUUCUUCAUAGAAGGACAAAACACAUUCGCAUUCGGUCUCACUUCUUGAGGGAACUAGUGAAUAAUGGUGAUAUUCAAGUUGAAUAUUGCAAGACAGAAGAUCAGAUGGCUGAUAUCUUCACAAAGCCGCUUAGUGGACAAGUCUUCAAGAAAAAUGUUGAAAGGUUGGGAGUUCGAAGCAAGUUUAAUUUAAGGGAGGCAUUGUUGGCACAUAAUUAAAUUAAUCUUGUACAAAUAAAUUAUGAAAAGUUAGAAGAGUGAAGAGACUUGAAUAUGAAGAGUGAAGAGACUUGAAGAUGAAAAGUUACACACAUUAUGAAGAGUGAAGAGACUUGAAGAUGAAAAGUUACACACAUGCAUGGAUAGUCAUAACUUUUAUAGUAUUUAAGUUAUGUAAAUGAAUAGUCACAACUCCUAGCAUUUAGUGAUAUAGAUGAAUAGUUACUUACAACUCCUAUAUAAAGAGUUGUAUGUGAUGAAGAAUGUAGUAGAGUGAUUGAAAUAAAAAGUUCAUUAGAAGGAAUUUUAUUUCUUCCAUAUACAAAAAUUAUUUCUCUUUUCAUUAUAUUCUUUAUCAUUUUCUUUGUUUUAUUUCUCCAAAUAUUGUUCAAUUUUCUACACGGAUGUCGAUAGCUUCGUUCUACAAUCCCGGCAGCGACGCCGUUAUAUACCCGGCGCCGGCCUUGCUGGAGAAAGAAGAAGAAGAGAAGAAAGGAUUGUACCCAAAAUUUGUGUUCGAAGAUUACAUGAAGCUUUACGCUUUGCUUAAAUUCCAGGCCAAGGAACGGAGGUUUGAAGGCAUGAAAGCCAUUGCAACAGCUUAAAAAAUGGAAGUUAAUCUACACCCUAAAAGUCCUUAACCAUAUAUGUACCAACCUGGAAAUCUUAUCGUUGUAAUUUUGGACCACUUCAUUAAUUGUUGGGGGUAAUAUAUAUUGCUACUUCAAUAAUUCCAUCCUUCAUACAGUUUCUACGUUAAACUCUAAAAUACCUAAUUAUUCUUUUGAUGAUUGGUGUUGAUUUCAUUUACUUGGAUCUGCAAAACUUAAUGCCAUGAAAUUGAUUGAAUAGUUGGCGAAACAAUUGUUGCAAUUUUUGUUUUUAAGCAUAACUCACAGAUGUAGGAUUAUAAACCCCCACUGUCUCCUCCUUUUUCUUUUAUUAUUUCAUGCUUCAAUUUUGUACAUCCACAAACAUAUAUGUUUUUUGAACCAACAUUUCUAGCCAAUCAAAUUUCACAAAACCACUCCUCAAAUUACCAAAAUUCAUUGAAUAAAACCCACAACUCUGAUUAAUUUCAAAAUUCAAGUUACCAAAUGUUACUUACAUGAAAACUAACCCUACACGUUGUGUAUUGCUAAAGAUGGCUACAAGUCUAAAUAAAAUAAUUGGGAUUUUCUCUAACCUACGUAAUGGGUGAUCAACUCAAGCCUAAACUAAACAUAGAAAUUAAUUUCCAGUUUAAUGAAAAACAUAGGUAGAAAAACACAAAUUCAAACCAAAUUUAAUUAAAAGAAGCCCCACAAUUAGUAAUUAUUGUUUUGGAGUUGUAAUAAAAUUUUUAUCCGACAUGCUUUACUAACAUGAUGAUAUGGGCUACAAAUAUCCAAUAGAUGUAAUUCUUGAUGCAUUGGAAAGCUGACAAACAAAGCUACCGGUCAUAUGGAGAGUGUUUGGUCUAAUUCCCCGGACAUCAAAUACUUAAGUUGAUCUAACCUCGUACGUUGGUAUGAUGGUUAGGGUGUUUACCGUCUCAAAUGUAAGCUGGGUUCGAGUCGUGUUAAACGCUUAUAAUUCACCAAAAAGAGAAAAACUUAAGUUCACCCCAAAUAAGUAUAUAUGAAGAUGAGAAUUUUGUCUCUCAAUAUAAUACUAAAAUUGUCCGUUCAAUAUCCAUUUAUGAAAACGGAACACAUUUCAUGAUCAGCGCGUAGGUAUUUUAAUUACAACAAAAAAAAAAAUUGAAUAACAAACACCCUAAGUAUAAUUGAUAAUUAAUUUAAAUCGUAAGCAUGUUACUAACAAAUUUUUAGAGGUGAUUGAUUCAAGAUGGUUUGGGUGCAUAAUGUUUUUUCUCAAAUGAAUUAAUUAGUUAUGGGUUGAAAGUUAUGAGCAUAUUAAUAACUUAAAAAUAUUAGUUCGGUAAGAUUUAAUAUGAUUUUUAUUUAACCUAUAUAUUAAUAAACUAUCAAAAUUAUAAAAAUGCGAAUUUUGAAAAAAAAAAAGUAUUUAAAUGAGAACCAUAAUAUUCAUAAAGGAUAUAAGGAAUUAUGAAUGAUCUAAAUCACUAAAAAAAUGUUAAAUUGUGUUGAAUUUAGGUGUAAUUAUUUAUAAUUAUAUAUGUGAAGCAUAUUUGGAUAACCAUAGUAAUUAGUGGAUCAUACUGAAUUAUGAUUACACUCUCCAAUUGUUGGAGGAUGGUGAGAAUAUUUGAAGUAAUUAUGCAUGUAAUUACAAACAAUUACAUUCAAAUUGGAGUAAUUACGUGGGGAUAUAUUUUAUUUUUAUAAUAUAAUAAAUAUACUAAUCUCAUUUAAAUAGUCUAAAAAGUUUUAUUAACCGAAGAUCAUUUUUUAGACAUUUUGAUGUAGUAAAUGUUUAAAUAAAUUACAUAGUAUAUAUCUAUUAUUUAUUUAUAUGUGGUCAAAGACUAAUUGAGGAUGACAAUGAGUAUAUGUUUAAUAUUAGAGAGGGAAUAAUAACCCAACAAAUAUGGAAUGCUAAAUUGUUUAGACAAAAAAAAUAUAAAAUAUUUAUUUUUCAUGUUAAUUUUAUUAAAAUUGUAAAAAAAAAUACUUUUUUGGACUAACAUAUUACAUUUAAAGACUUCAAUUUUAAGUAGAAUUUUUCCUCAAGUAUUAUUGAUAAUAUUUUAUAAGAAUUAGUAUUAUUUUUUAGAAUUUCAAAUUAUAAAAUUGUAUAAUUACAUUUUAUAUUACCAUUACCAAAUAUGAAAAAGAUAAUUACGGUGUAAUCACACUCUAUCAAUUAAACAUGUAUAAAGAAUGAAUAUUUUCUUAUAAUUAUAUUUCGAUUCAAUUACUUUAUGGUGUUCACGUAACAAAAUAAAUAAUUAAACAAACAAUUAAUAAAGAGUGUGGAUGACCAAGAACUAUAGAAUUUGCUGAUUAAAUGAACCGAUCGACGGGAAUGAUGGACAUGUCUCAUUUGGGGCUUAAAAUAAUUUUAUUUUAAUUCGAAUUAAUUAUCAUUCAAUAAAUGUAUUUGUUUUAUUUUGGUUAUUAAAAUGUGUAUUUGUAUAAAUAAUAAUUCAUGAAACUUUCAAUUUCAUUAAAGGGCUUUGAGAAAAAAAGAAGUCCCCACCACCUUUGGAACUCACCUUGCCGACCUCCAUGCACGUGCACAUGCACUUCAAUUGUUUUAUAUAAAAUAAUUAGUUAUAAAUUGAAUGCAUACAAAACUAACUACAUUUUGAUACCUUUUUAACUGUCUCCCACAACCUGAUAUAUAAAAGGAAACAUUGCCUUUGAUUUCAUCUAUACAUCUUUUACCAUUAUUUAAUAAUUGAUACAUCAUUGCCAAGUUGCCAACCCAUCUCUCUUUGUUUUAUUGGUUAAGGUGAGUGCUUUGAAUCCUUACAAAUUUCUCUCAUAUUUGUUCUUUUUAACAUCAUACUUAAAAUUACUCAUAGUCUCUCCUCAACCCAUAAAUAAAAGGGCAGCAUCUUUUUAUAUUAACAACAAUGCCCAUGCCAAUUAAGCUAAUACUCAAUUGACAAAUUUAGGUUCAAAUUUUAAUGUGUGUAAUUGCAAGAUACAAAUCUCCAAUCUUAUCGUGUGUAUUUCAUAUAUGAAUUUUGUCUAUUUUUUUUUUCAAUUUUUCAUCUAAUUUACUUUACAAAAAAUUAAUUUUACACGAUAAUUACUCAAAAAUAUAUAUUAUCCAUGAAUUUGAUUAUCCAUUGAAGGCCAACACAAUAAAUGAAGCACUCUCAAAUAGGGUGAGCAAAACUCGAUUCGACUCGAAAAAAUAGAAAAAAGAAUUCGAAUUUCGAGUUAAACGAAUCGAGUUAUUUGAGUUAAUCGAAUUAUUUUUUUGAGUUUCGAGUUCGAAUCGAGUUGAGUUUUCGAAUUCGAAUAACUCGAAUAAUUUGAGUAAUUCAAAUAUCAAACUAUAAUAUUUUAUAUUUUUACCCCAAACUCCCAAACCUUUUUACUUUUCCCUCAAAAACUUUUACUUCUUCCCACUUUCCCCCCAAAACUUUUACUCCCCUCCCAUCCCAACCCUCCAUCUACCCAAAAUUCAUUUCCCACCAAAAUUUUACUCUCAAAAACCCUCAAAAUUUUUUAUUUUCCCCCAAAAUUUUUAUUCCCUUCCCAUCCCACCCCCCAUCUACCCCAAACACCCCCCAAUUUUUUUAAAUAUUUUCCCUCCAAAAUUUUAAACUUUUACUCCCCAAAACUUUUUAUUUUCCCCCUAAACUUUUACUUCUCACCCUUUACUCCCAAAUAAAAAAUCAAAAUUAUCCAAAAACAUCUUUAAACAUAAAUAGUAAUACUUUUAUUUAUAUCUACUAUUUAUAUUAUUAAAUUAAAUUUCACAUUUUAUAUUAUUUAUAUUAUUGAAUUGUUUAGUCAUAUUGAAUAUUUAUAUUAAAAUUGAAUUAUUAAUGAUGCCAUAAAAUAUUUGUGUAAAAAUUUUAUAUUGGUAUCAAUUUCACAUUUCAUCUUUAGAAUAACUUUUAUUAAAAAAUCACAUUUUUACAUUUAAUAUAUAUUUUAAUUCCAAAAGACAUAGUGACAAGAAUCUGAAGAUAAUUGAAACAACUAAGCAAGUAAAGAAGCUAACCCGUAUAUAAAAGAUUAAUAAAUAAAUUAUGAGGUGAUGAAAGUUAAUAAAAAAAAUAAUUAUGGUGGACAAAUUUUAUUAUGAUGAGUGACAGCGAUUACAAGGACCUAAAAUUAUUUUUUAAAAUUUAACUUGAACAAAUAUAUUCGAUUCGAUUCAAAUUUCAUUUCACUCGACUCGAUUCUAGAAAAUUUCAAAUCAAAUUAGGAUGAUAAAAUAUGAUUCAUCAACUCGAUUAACUUGAAAUAUUUUCAUUCGAUUUGAUCGAAUGCUCACCCUUACCCUCAAAAGAGUCGAAGGCAACCGAACAUAAGACCCCUAAACAGUAAGCUGAGAACAUAGAAAACCGAAUUUGAUAACUAAGUGAACUGUACAAACAUGUGGUGAGGUAUUGUUAUUUUAUGAUUAAGAUAGAUCAUGCACAUAGUGUCCACAAUAUAAUUUUUAAUUUAACAAAAGUACAUAUAUAAAAGAAAUAAACUUGUUAUUUUAGCUUUCAAAACAAAAAGAAGAUAACCACAGAAAAAAGAAAAGAAAAAGGUGGCUGCUAAUUUUUUUUAAAAUUAGGCAAGAAAUUAAUUGAGAGGGAGGAAUUUUCAAGGCUCCUUGAAUAAAUAAAUAAAUAAAAACAAAUUUAAAUGUUAUAAAUUUGAACGGGUUAAAAAUGAGAUUUGUAUUUUGGCAACAAAUUUAUUAAAUGAGUAGAGUUUUUAGAGUAUAAGGUGAAAUAUGUUGUAUUUAAAAUAAAAAGAAAGGAUAGUAUUUAACGUCUGCUUGUAAAAUAUCCUAAUAUUCUUGGGAGACAUUUAAAACAUGUGAAUUUUGACCCCAAAUAUUCCACACCAUUUUCGAAUUUGAUUUUUCUAUUUUCUUGAAUAAUAAUUUGACUUGGGUCAAACACUCCGCGUUUUUGCCUAACAACGACGACAUGGCGGCUAACAAUGGCUUUCUUAAAUAAAUUUAAGAGUCAAGCUUUCUUCCUUAUUUUUCUUAUUAUAAAAUUGUAUUACAAUUUGACAUUUACUUUUGCUUUUUAAUGUUUUAAAUGAAAUUUUCAUUUCUUGUUCUUUUCAAAUAUGAAAUAGUUAUGGAAUGAGUUUCAUGAUGUCUCAAUCUCUUUCAAUUUUCUUUUUUUUUUUUUAAUUAUUCACAAACCCUUCAAUUACUAAUUACGUCAUUAAAUGAACAAAAAUGGAAUUUAAUUAAAGAAUUUUUUUCCAAAAUCGGAAUUAUAAUUGGAUAGGAGGGACUAAAGGUUUGAUAUUAAAAUUUUUUAAAAUAAAUCAUAUUUGUUUAGGAAAAUCAUUUUUGAAUCAACAAUUUAAGAAAAAUUUUAUAUUUUACUGAUUGAGUCUUAACUCGAUUGACAUUGGUAUUGUUGUCAAUACAUAAGGACGUGGGUUCGAGUACGCUGAAGCGCAUUAUCUUCUUAUUUAUAGGUUGGGAGCGGCUAUAGUAAUUUUAGUCAUUGUGUAAAACAAAAAAUAUAUAAUCAGAAUGUAUAACAAAAUUAUUAACAAAAUAUAUUUUUUAACCAAAUAAAUAUAACAUAAAUUUAUUUGACGGUGGAACGGAAUGAAAUUGCUGAUACUUAAAUUUUGGUCAAAAUUAACAAGAAAGAAAUGACUCUUUUAGAGUCAUCAAAAUGUGUGUCCAAAUGCCAACAAUGGACCCAAAGGACCAAAGGGUUGAUCGUUACUUCAACAAGGGAAUUCAAUUUUAGCAUAGAUUUAACCCCCCAACAUUUGUUUGAAUUUCUUUUAUUUAAAAUAAUUAGAAAUCAUUGAUUAAUUAAAACUUUAAUCAAUUCAACAUAAAAAAUAGAUAAAAAAAUUUGAAAUUGUGACAAAUUUAAAUAUAAUCACUCGAAAAGUCGUAAUUAAUUUGUGACAAAAAUAGAUUAAAAUGCAAUUUUCAUAAAUAUAUUCAUUGUAUACCCAUCUAAAUAUUUUAUCUUAUUAUUUUGCUUUCAAUCAUACCUCUUUGUAAAGUAGGUUAUGAUUUAAAAAAAAUUGAAUUUAAAUUGUAAACUUUUUAAAUAUCACAUCUAAUUAAGAAAUGAUUUUAAAAUUGGAGUUAUGCAUGUACUAAUAGUAGUAUUAUUUUCCAAUUUUCCUCCUCGCUUCCUUUGUUAAUUUGUUGAUACUAUUAAUUUUUGACCCACAAGCCGACAUCCGCUUGAAUUAUAUACCUUUAAACCUCACUUGUAACUAUCUAUAAAUAGCCCCAUACCCCUUUCCUCCCUUCUGCAUUAAACAAAUCUAAGCUUUUGCAUAAUAACAUCCCCACCGUAGACAGCCUCACUCUGAGAGUUCUUUAGAAAAAAAAUAAAGUGGUAAGAGAAAUGGGAAAAUUCCCAGUGAUCAACUUGGAGAAACUGAAUGGUGAGAGAGCAGCAACCAUGGAUCUAAUCAAAGAUGCCUGUGAGAAUUGGGGCUUCUUUGAGGUACCGAUUGCUACUUUAUAUGUAUAUAUACUCUAUUCUCCUUGGUAGAUUUUUGCUAAUUAUUAGCGUGGUUCCUUUGGUGCAGGUGUUGAACCAUGGGAUUCCCUAUGAAUUUAUGGACAGAGUGGAAAGCUUGACGAAGGAGCAUUACAAGAAAUGCAUGGAGCAAAGGUUUAAGGAACUGGUGGCAAGCAAGGCCCUUGAGGGUCUCCAGGCUGAGGUUACUGAUAUGGACUGGGAAAGUACCUUCUAUUUGCGCCAUCUCCCUGAAUCCAACAUGGCUGAAAUCCCAGAUCUAACCGAUGAAUACAGGAAGGUGAUGAAAGAAUUUGCAUUGAAAUUGGAGAAACUAGCAGAGGAGCUGCUGGACCUGUUCUGUGAGAACCUUGGUCUAGAAAAAGGAUAUCUGAAAAAGGCUUUCUAUGGGGCAAAAG
rnacentral:lncRNA from 1 species